UGCAUACUUUGCAAAUGUGGUGAGGAACAUGGGAUGUGGCAUCUGAAUUGCCUGAGUCCAAAUCGUGGACCCAAUGCUUCCUGGCUGUGUAAUUUGGACAAGUGACUGAACCUUCUGAGCCUCGGUUUCUCUCAUCUGUAAACUGGGGACAAUAAUGGUGGUUGUGAGAAGUACAGUAUGAUGUGCCUGGCAGAGGGAGAGAGCAGUUGUGGGUUUUGUUGUUGUUUUUAACGAGUCCCUGAUAGCCACAUAUCCCGUUAGGGAGAUGAGCCAGCUAUUGAGGGUUCUGUGAGAACUCAUAGCAACACCACCCUAAUCAGAGGAAAGGGGAAGGAGAAAGGGAAACAAGAUCCUUGGGCUGAUCAG
rnacentral:lncRNA from 1 species